AACGAACGCUGGCGGCAGGCCUAACACAUGCAAGUCGAACGCCCCGCAAGGGGAGUGGCAGACGGGUGAGUAACGCGUGGGAACCUUCCCAGUGGUACGGAAUAACUGACCGAAAGGUUGGCUAAUACCGUAUACGCCCGAAAGGGGAAAGAUUUAUCGCCAUUGGAUGGGCCCGCGUCGGAUUAGCUAGUUGGUGAGGUAAUGGCUCACCAAGGCGACGAUCCGUAGCUGGUCUGAGAGGAUGAUCAGCCACACUGGGACUGAGACACGGCCCAGACUCCUACGGGAGGCAGCAGUGGGGAAUAUUGGACAAUGGGCGCAAGCCUGAUCCAGCCAUGCCGCGUGAGUGAUGAAGGUCUUCGGAUUGUAAAGCUCUUUUGUCCGGGAAGAUAAUGACGGUACCGGAAGAAUAAGCCCCGGCUAACUUCGUGCCAGCCGCCGCAGUAA
rnacentral:rRNA from 1 species